ensembl:lncRNA
GUUCUGAGAGAGAAAGGACACUCAAAGCAUCACUUACUGAUUGAUCCCCACCUGAGAGAAGGCUCAGUGAGACAGAGAGCAGCAGCAUGAGUGAGAGCAGUGACAGAGGGUGCAGCAGUUCCAGUUCCCUUCACACAGAUCUCUCCAACCUUGUGAUCUGGGCACACACUCAUGGCACCAUAUGCAACCAGAUCCCAGGCCUGGAAUUCAUGGAGAACGCAGAUCAUGAUGUGAGCAGUGACAACGCUGUGCUGUGGAUGUGCAGAGCUGGACAUGCCUACCACUGGCACUGUGGGAAGUCACACAACACAGGUGAAGAAGCGCCUGAGGCUCUAGGAGGGAGAAAGAGGCUCUUGCCUUCUGAAUCUUUGGCAAGGGAAUCCAGCUUUAAAGAAAAGAGGCUCAGGCUGGCCCCAUCAUCUUUUGAGAUGGACCAAGAAGAUUCUGGGAGCACAGAGUCAUGUGGCAGAUCCCAAGGGGUCGCUGAGCAGAAGGCUGGCAGUCCCUACACAAGGAAUAAGGAGCCCAAGGGGAGUCAAAAUAGCAGGAAACACAAAUUCUCUGCAGCAGAGCAGCACUUCUCUGAGUCUGGUAGUAGAGUCCAGACUGGUGAGCAGCAUGUGAAGUCCAAAACGUACAAAGAUGCAGAGAUCAUUAUCUCUGAUGACGAGCAGUGUGAGGCAGAUGAAGACAGCAAAGGAGACAGAACCAGCCAGGAUAAUGUGUCAGAGCCAUCUGCUGAGAAGUUGCAGAUGCAACACUGCCAGAAGAUGGCAUUGCACCAGCCAACAGCCUCCCCAAAAACUGCCUUUGCCCCCACAGCAAAGCCAUCCCUGGCCCGUGCCUACAUUCUGCCGGCUCAUGUCAGCAGCUCAGAGGAUCUGAACAGGAACAUCCUGAGGCUGGCUCCUUCCACUGCUGCAGGGCCCGUGGCUGAAACUUCCAGAGCAAGGAGCCUCCCGGGGUCAGCAGCACCAAAGGUAUGUCCCAAACCCCUUCCUGUCCCCAGCACUGAAGCCGAGGCCCAGCUUGAAUCCCAGCCCUCAGUGAUGUUCUUUGAGCUCCAAGCCACUACUGCUGCUCAGCAACAUCUCCAGCUGAGCCCUUCACAGUGUGGCACACUGGGAAUGGGCUCCAGUGGGGAUGGUGCUGAGAACGUGGGUGAGAACAGUGACACAUCAGGAUCUGAGCAGGAACCUUCUUCUUCAGCCUUCCAGAGUCCAGAGGGACAUCCACCUGCAGCCUCAAAUGGAGGUAAGGCAGCGUGGAGUUGUGUGCUUGCAGGGCUGUGGGGGUGUUCCAUUAAUCACUUUCCCAAAAUAUCCAAGGAGGGUGAGUUCACAUCACUGCCAAGAUCUGUUUACUGCAGCAUCCAAGGAAAUCUCUUGGAUUUGGGGCACUCCUGUUUCUGCUUGAGGGGACUACAAAGCUCCUUGCCUAAAGGAAUUGGUGCUUUUGUAGGGAAUGCCCUUCUCUGGGGUACCCAAAGGUGUUCUUGGCUGUGGCCCAGUCCCAACAUCCCAGUUUGGAUACUUUGGUCUUCCAUUUUACCCAGUACCCCCACACAGUAUGUUGGCUGUACUUGAGAGAGUUCCUGUGGGGAAACUGGAGCUAGAGCAGGGAAUUCAGGUCUGAAGAGAAAGAAACGAGAGGAAAUAAUGCAGAGAAAUUGUGGCCAGAGCUCUUUCUGCACCAAGGCCAGUGGCAAAACCUCCCAGUGCUAGCAGAAUGUCAGUCCUGCAUAGGAGGUGCAGGGCUCCACACAUUGCUUUAGCCCUUUCAAUAAUUAAGAUUUUUGUAUGUGCUGUCCUGCAGCACAGGGGCUGGGCAUGUCCUUGUGAAGGGCAGAGGUGCUGAGGCAGCAUUUGGGGUCUGCCUGGGAUGUGCUUGGCCUUGAAAAGGCUUAGGGGUUGUUGUUCCUUGUGGAGCCAUAACCACACAAACUGCCACAGUUGGGGUUGGGGAGCAGUAUUUGACUAUUUUCAUAACUGACAUCAUGUGUCAUGUGAAGGGACUGGGAAUUCUUCUGGGAAUGCCUGUAGUAGCUGUUUCUGCCAAGGUAACUGGCUCAUGGCUCAGAGGAGGCCUCAGCAUGAUUGAUUCAUGAGCUGUUCCUCUCUGCACCUGGAGCAGCCAGCGCAAAACAGGCCAAAACCCCAAAAAACUGGGACAGCCAUCAGUCUUUCAGGAUGGCAACAAAACCUAUAAAAAAGAACCUGGUGCAAAAAAGGGUUCUAGGUGUUGGCUUUUCCAUCACCCCAUCCUCAGCCCUGGCCGAGUCACAGGCGAGCAGAUGGAGCUUUCCAGCAAUCCAAAGAAUUCAUUUCUCAUGCUACAUCGAGCUAGGUGGAUGUGGGAUUGCCAUGGCAACUUGAGAGAGAGCCCAACUGCAAUCCUGGCAGUCCUUUAAACAAAAUCAUAGUAGACUUUUACUCACCUGUUUGUUCUCCCCCACCAUCCACCCCAACCUUUGGUUCAUGAAAGGGAAGUGUCCCUGUGUGGCAAUGAGCAGGGCCAGCUGCCAAGGGAGAAGGACCCAACUUUCCCUGGAUAGCUGGGCACUGUCGAGUUGUGCUGUUUGUGGAGAGAACAAAUAUGACCUACAGUUCUAGAGGAAGGGGUUUGGGAGAGUCCUGUCCUCUCUGAAUGGCUUCCAGAAAGCAGAGAUAGACACUAUCCUUUAUCUCCUUGUGUUUUCCUGAUCUUUGUGGAUUCUCCCUGUCCACAAAACUAUAUCUUUUCUUUUAGAUGCGCUGAAGAAGCAGGAGAAAAAGAAAAGCAAUACCAUGGGACACAUAAAAGUGUUUGAAGAGUGGCUGAAGGGGCACUACCCCUCCGAGACACGCGAGAUCCACAGGCUGCCUCCCGCAGACCUCGACCAGUACCUGGUGUCCUUCUUCAGCUGUACCAAAAAACAGAAUGGCAAGGAGUUUUCUGCCAGUUCCUUAAACAUCUUCAGGUACAGCAUCAACAGGUACCUCCAGGAGCACCACUACCAGUACAGCAUAUUGAGAGGGCCAGAGUUCAAGGCCUCUCAGGAAGCCUAUAAAUUAAAAUAUCGGCACUUGUUUCAAACCAAGGAGUUACAGUGCAAUGCUGUGGAGAGCCUGACAAGUGAAGAUGUGGAAAAUCUUCUUAAGAAGGGAAUUUUAAGCAAGACAAACCCUCAGGGCUUGUUGUACCUCAUGUUCACCAACCUCAUUAGGGGGUUUGGGGCAAAGACCCACUACCAGGCCCACCAGCUGUGUUGGGGACAGGUGGUGCUGAGGAAGAGCAGAGGGGUGGAGUACUUGGAGUGGAAGGAUGAUCUGAGCCCCGAGGGAAAUGAAGGGGAGCCAAACCCACUGCUCUUUGCCAAGCCUGAGGAUCCAGAGAACUGCCCGGUCUCCAGUUACAAGGAGUAUGCCAGGAGGAGGCCAGCAGACAUGCUGGAUGACACCCACCCUCUUUACCUGUCUCCCGUGCCACUGUACUCUGUCUGGGACAAAGUGUGGUACAUCAGAAAGCCACUGUCAAAAGCCAAAAUUAAUAAUAUCUUGAAAGUUAUUAUGCAGGAAGUCAGAGGAGCAGUAAAGAAGACCAGGAAAUAGGGGUGUCCCUUCAGCUUUGCCCUUCAACCACUCCAAGGCUGCUCUGAAACACAAUCCUACUGCAAUAUUUGGUGUAGGUUGAGAGCAGACAUCCUUCUGCUGAGCUUCACCUUGGCACUGAAGGUACCUACACAUCUGCAGUGCCUUGGCUUUCAGGGAAGUUCUUUUAUUGUUGUUUCUGUUACUGGAAUUGAUAAUUCAGUGAGUUAAUGAGAGUCUUCAGUUUCACAUUUGCCAAACGAGUUAAUGUUCUACCACAUUGUCAAUGCUGUUAGAAACCACCACUGCUGACACACAGAGGGCUUGGGGGUGGCAGGGCCUGGCCAGGAGUGCCAGCUGCACCCACAUUUUAAGGUGACACCCCACAAGCUCAGCCUGUGGGGAAGGAUGAGCAGCAGGACAAUGAUGGUGCUGCCAAUCCCAACCGUGCAGGAACACUUCUGGCAAGGUUCAGGUAAUUUCCCUUAGGGAAAGAUUUGUAGAUUGAAGAAGUUGUGGCUGUUCUAAGAAGUUAUUUAAAGUGUCUGACAAUGUUGAAAGGUUUUAUGGUAAGUGGUUUCCCUGGAGUGCAAAACACAGCUCCACAAAGGCACUGGGAGGUGUGCUCAGCUCCGCUCACUGCCCCAGCUCAGGCAGGUUUUUGGUUGCAUUGUUGGCCGAGCCAAAUAAAAGAGCCUUUAAUUCAGUCCUGUCUGUCUGU